CCCUUAGAUGUUCUGAACCGCACGCGUGUUACACUGAUGCAUUCAACGAGCUUUACCUUGGCCGAGAGGCCUGGGAAAUCUUUUUAGCAUGCAUCGUGAUAGGGAUUGAUUAUUGCAAUUAUUAAUCAUGAACGAGGAAUUCCUAGUAAACGCAUUUCAUCAAAAUGCAUUGAUUACGUCCCUGCCCUUUGUACACACCGCCCGUCGCACCUACCGAUUGAGUGGUCCGGUGAAGUCCCGAGAUUGUGGCAAUCUCCUUUAUUGGAGUUUGACUGCGAGAACUUGCCUAAACCUUAUCACUUAGAGGAAGGUGAAGUCGUAACA
rnacentral:rRNA from 1 species